rnacentral:rRNA from 1 species
UGUAGCCAUCCUGAACAAGCUCGAUCCCGUCUGAUCCUGGAAGCUAAGCAGGGCUGGGCCUGGUUGGUGCUUGGAUGGGAGACUACCUAGGAAGACCAGGUGCUAUAG